UCCAUCGCACUGUGUCACUGGGUACCCGUCUAAAUAAAGUGCUUCUUUUUCUUUUAAAGAUUUUUUGCCCCAUUUUUUUUCUUUUUUCUUUUUAUGGGUACCGGGAAUCGAACUCACGACCGCCUGCUUGCAAGGCAGGCACUUAUGCCGCUGAGCUAAAUCCCCAGCCCCUCUUGCCCCAUUUUUUGAACAGCAUUUUCGGAUCUUGUUUUUGGGGUACAACAUUUGGGCACUUGUCCAGGAUAUCUCGAGGACCCCUCCCCAAAUUAUUUUUCACUGAUCGGCUUAACAUCUGGUUUGGAUUGGCCUCAUUCAUAACACCCCCCUCUUGGUGCCAUUAAAACCAAAACCAGCUCUGAGCCAGGUCCUGCCUGCCAAGGAAAAAACCAUGCCCCAAAGAGACUGGAGAGAAGAGAGGGAAAAAAGGGGAUCGAACUCACGACUGCCUGCUUGCAAGGAAGGCGCUUAUGCCACUGAGCUAAAUCCCCAGUCCAGUAAUUAUGAUUUUAUUUUAUUUUAUUUUAUUUAUUUUUUUUUGUCUUUUUCAUUUUUAUCGGUACCAGGGAUCGAACUCGUGACUGCCUGCUUGCAAGGCAGGUGCUUAUGCCGCUGAGCUAAAUCCCCAGCCCAAUAAUUCUGAUUUUAAAGCUGAACAAACAAGUUCCAAUUUGGAAACUGAACAAAUAGACUCAGACCCCAAAUUUAAAAAAGAUGAUUAAAAUGAGAUAUUAAAAAGGCAAAGGACUAGGAAAAAACCCUUUGCCCCCCUUCUAUUGACCCCAUGCUCUGACGCCCUUGGCUCUGGGACUGGAGCUCUCCUCUCAUCCUAUCCCUCUGCACCAUUGUUUACCUGUUCUCUGCCUCUGACCUCUACAAUUGGAAACAGCAGAACCCAUCCUUUUCUAAGGAUCCCCAAGGCCUCAUUUCCCUUCUGGAAUCUACGUUUUUCACUCAUUGUCCCACUUGGGAUGACUGUCAGCAACUGCUCCAGGUACUAUUUACUGCAGAGGAGAGAGAGUGCACACUGGGACAGUACAUGAUCCAGAUGGAAACCCGUCCUCUGAUCCCAAAUGCCAGAACCAUGUCUUCCCUUUGUCCUGCCCCAAUUGGAACCCUAAUAUGACUGGAGGUAAGGAGGCUCUCGAUCAGUAUUGCCAGUUGUUCUUGGAAGCCCUUAAUGGCGCUGCCAGAAAAGCCACCAAUUUGUCCAAGGUAUCAGAGGUAAGGCAAUCGGCUAACGAGUCUCCCUCAGGGUUUCUGGAAAGAUUGAAAGAGGCCUAUCCCAUUUAUACACCCACAGAUCCUGAAAAUGCAAGGGCCAUUAAUAUUGCCUUUGUAACCCAGUUGAGCCCUGAUAUUUAAGCGAAAAAUGCAAAAGCUUGAGGGAUUUGAGGAAAUACCCCUUAGUCAGUUAUUAGAGAUUGCUCAAAAUAUAUUUGAUAACCGGGAGGACCCAAAAGACCCGAAGUGGACAAAGGUGCUGGGGAUGCUAGCCAACAAAGUCACCUAGCCCGAUGUGAAGUCUCCUCCACCCCUAGAUAAAAAUCAAUGUGCUUAUUGCAAAGAGAAGGGGCAUUGGUGAAAUGUCCCAAGAUCUUCUGUGGGCCCUGGAUGAUCUGGGCUAUAAGGUCUCUGCUAAAGAGGCCCAACUAUGCCAAAAGCAUGUGACCUACUUAGGUUACCAAAUCCAUGAAGGAAAAUGGACUCUCGCCUCCUAGCAGGUACAAUCCAUCCAACAGAUUCCGGUCCCCGUGACUAAAAAGUAAAUGCAAGAAUUUUUAGGAGCCAUAGGAUAUUGCUGGCUUUGGAUAACGUGGCAGUCGGAUGGCCACUUUGUCUGCGGGUGAUUUCCUCAGUGGCCCUCCUGGUAAAGGAGGCUCAAAAAUUGACUUUUGGACAAAAGCUCUUAAUUGUCUCCUCUUAUUCACUGGAGACCCUCAUCAAGGCUCCACCAAACAGGUGGGUGUCCACUCCCGAGUCAUGCACUAUCAGGCACUACUUCUGGAUCCGACUACUAUCAGUUUCAAGGAGACAGCAGCUUUAAAUUCUGCUACUUAGCUAUCUGAUGAUAACCCCUCCUUGCCCCUCCACAACUGUAUUGAUCACCUCAUGGGGCUCCGACCAGACCUGACAGAUGAGCCCCUAUCCGGAGUUCCAUCAUACUUCUCUGAUGGGAGCAGUUACAUCUAUCAAGCCCAUUCUGAGGAUGAACACACUGCUGUGGAACCUGGAACACUAGUCCUCCUCAGAAGACAUCACUGAGAAUCUCUCGAACCAUGGUGGGAGGGCCCCUACACCAUGGUCCUCAGCACUCCAACCACUGUCAAAGUCACCGAGAAACCUGCCUGGAUCCAUCAUUCUGACUUCAAGUCUGUCCUGGCCUCCAAUGGCGAUCGAUCUGCAGAUAAGUGGACUGUUAUCCCCUUCAAGGACCCCUUAAAGCUUAAGAUUGCCAAAUGUACCUAAUAGUCUUAUUUCUAUGGGUUUCUUAUGGAGACUUCAGGGGCACAUCUCAUAAUCCUCAAUUUGGAACUUGGAAAAUAACUGAUUAUAAUACUGGUGAGAUGUUGGCAACCAACACCACUGUCCAUGGUAUAAUUAAACUAGAUUUGUUUGCUCUAUUAAAUAAGAUCCCAGUAAAAAUUAGACAAAAGAUGAUAAAAAUAGGACAGUAUGCCAUGCAGCACAUCUGGCAGAUUAAAGGAAGGCAAACUGGGCCUUGCAAAGACCUGAAUAGUCAAAAGAAAUUACACUCCAUUGGCUGGUACCUCUGCCCCCAGAUACAGCAACCAGCUACUGACCUUGCCCAUAUUGGAGCAUCUAGAGAUUAUCAUACCUGGAAGUGUUCACAGUCCUUAGAGACAAAAUACUUUUGUAGAUAUUGGAGUGGUGGGAUCAAUGGGUUUAGGAGUGUGCAGUCUAGUAAUCGGAGAUCAGAAUUACAGGCACUUAAGUGCUCUUAUCAAUCAGGAUCUAGCCACACUCAAUGAAUCUGUCUCCAAGCUGGGAGAGUCCUUGAGUUCCCUGGCUGAGAUGGUUUUACAAAACUGAUGGGGACUAGAUCUCCUAUUCCUAAAAGAAGGUCUCUGCUUGGCUUUAGGGGAAAACCGCUGUCUGUACGCCAAUCAUUCUGGAGGCAUCAGGCAGAACAUGGCUAACCUUAAAAAGUGAUUGCAAGAACAAGAACAAGCCAGGCAGGCUGAACAGAGCUGGUCUGAACGUUGACUCUCCUUCUCUCCUUGGUUAACAACUGUAUUAAUGGCAACCAUAAGACCUUUGUUAAUCCUCCUCGUCUGUGUAACUAUCGGGCCUUGUAUUAUAAACAAAUUAAUAAGUUAUGUUAAAGACUGAGUUUAGGCCGUUAACUUAAUGAUCCUAAGAACACAAGGCUAUGAACAGACAGCUCUAAUGGAAGCUCCUUCCAUGAGUCAAUGAUUUGACUCACGGGACAAAAAUCAGUGGGGAAUGUUGUGCUCUAACAAAAGUGGGGCCAUUCUGUUCUGUAUGUGUCCUUACCCUGGUAACUCUGUACUCUGUGUCAACCUUUGUCCCCCUUUGUGAAGGACAGUUGUUCCUGGAAUUAGCUGACCACAAGUAGCCAAGUUCCUGUAAAGGAGGAACUAGCUGACCACCAGCUGCAAAACUUUGCAUAAAGGCAACUGAUUAAACAAGGAACUCUGCCCCCAAAUAAGAGAACAAAAGCCUUUCUCACCCUUAUCCUCUCCCCUCCCACCCCUGCUUUGCAGUUUUUUCCUUUAUAAGCCUCCCAAAUAUCUAACCUAGUUGCACAGCUUUGCAAACUCCAUCGCACUGUGUUGCUGGGUACCAGUCUAAAUAAAGUGCUUCUUUUUUUUAAAAAGAUGUCUUGCCCUGGUUUUUGAGCAGCAUUUUGCAGUCUCAUUUUUGGGGUACAACAAAUAGGACAUUAGAAAACGGAGAGACAUCCCACACUCUUGGUUAGGAAGUACCUAAUAACGCAGCUUGGGCUGGAACCAUAACUAAGGCCCCAUCAUCCUGUGUAAGGGGAUUAACUCACUUCAGAGACAACUCUCACCACACACACACACACUCCUGUCCUGUCAAAGAAAAAUCUAUGACUGCGAAAAUGUGGACAAAGUUAUGGAAGACAGUCCCAGCAAGACCUAGAACAGUUUGAAAAUUGACAGAUAAAAACAGGACCAAUUAUAACUUUUCUUUAAAAAAGAGAAGAGAGACUUUGUAAGAAACAAAAAAGUGAUCUAUUUUCAGGACAAGGACUUUUAGCUUGAGAAUGUGACUGAGGUCAGGUCAUGCAUUGGAGAGGGUGUUUAAGCACCAGGGGGAGGCUACAUGGUCAAUUAAGUAUGGAAGUUACCAUGCUAAUGUUGUACCCCAAAAACGAGACUCCGAGAUGUUGUCCAAAAAUGGGGCAAGACGUCUUUAAAGGAAAAAGAAGCGCUUUAUUUAGGCUGGUACCCAGGGACACAGUGUGAUGGAGUUUGCAACUAGGGUUAGAUUGUUGGGAGGCUUAUAAAGGAAAAAACCACAAAGCAGUGGUGGGAGGGGAUAAGGGUGGAGAGGCUUUUGUUCUUUUCUUUGGCUUCAGGGCAGAGUUCCUUGCUUAAUCAGUUGCCUUUACUGGAAGUUUUGCAGCUGCCGGUUAGCGAGUUCCUCCUUUACAGAAAGUUGACAAUUUGUGGUCAGCUAAUUCCAGGAACAACCGUCCUUCACAAAGGGGGACAAAGGUUGAGACAGAGUACAGGGUUACCAGGGUAACGACACAUACAGAACAGAAUGGUGAUGCUUUUGUUGUUGCACAACAGCUAACUCUGGAAAAUUGCUGACAGUUAAGAAGUUAUUCCAAACACUCAGGAGGCUGAGGCGGGAGGAUUUCUAUGAGUUUGAGGUGAGCUUGGGUUAUAGGCUGAGCUGAAGUCCAGGCUGAACUGCAGUGAAACCUUGUCUCAAAAAGACCAAAUAAAUAAAUAAAAAUAACAACAACAAAAUAUAACCCAGUAAUGAGGAGAGGGCGAGGGAACCCCGCUGGGCUCACAUGGCCCUUUAUGAUCAUUCUGGGGGUGUCAGCUUUUUUGGUGAGGCAGGCACCUCAUUCUUGCAAAACAGGGAAAUCAGGCUUUGCUUUUGCUGCUCUUCUUCCCUCUGAAUCUGUUCUUUGGGCCUGAACAACUGAAAUGCAUUUCACACACUAUGUUCAACCAAUCCUCAGUUAUUGGACAAGGAGAUUACUUCUAAGUUAUGAGUGUAGCUCAGUGGGGAGUGUUUGUCUAGCGUGCAUGAAGCCCUGCAGUUUAACAGAAUUGAGAAAAAUAAAAAGAGGAAGUUGUCAUUUAAGCAAUAGCAAAUAAUAACCUGGCAUGGAAUGCGGAAGUAAUGUCUCAGUGAGUGAUCUCUGAGAUAAAUUCCUGGAAGUUAAAUUCCUAAAGGGAGGGCAGGAGCCACUGUGUCUCUGCUGUUUCCUGAGGCCACUCCAAGGGGCACCCCUCAGGGAUCUCUCUUUAUCACCUCUGCUGCUCCUUGCUAACCUCAGAGAUCCCAAGGGAGCUUGUUUCAAUUUGCAUUUGUAUUACUUUAAGUGAGGUUGACGGCUCAUCUGGGUGUAAAAGGCAGGUCUCUAGGAUAGUGUGGUGGGGUAUACCAGUAAUCCCAGUACCCUGGGAAGCUGAGGCAGGAGCAUUGCAAGUUCAAGGCUAGCCUACAAAUUUAAUGAUUUAGCAAGACUCUAAUUUCAAAAUUAAAAAAAAAGAAAAAAAGAAGGAAGGAAGUGAGCUUAUGAUGUAGCUCAGUGUGAAGGCUUUGGGUUUAAUCCCCAGCCUUGCAAAAAAAAAAAAAAAAAAACCAAAAGCAAUACAACCAAAAA